UACGAAGGGUGCAAGCGUUUAAUCGGAAUUACUGGGCGUAAAGGGUGCGUAGGCGGUUGUUUAAGUCUGUUGUGAAAUCCCCGGGCUCAACCUGGGAAUGGCAAUGGAUACUGGACGGCUAGAGUGUGUCAGAGGAUGGUGGAAUUUCCGGUGUAGCGGUGAAAUGCGUAGAGAUCGGAAGGAACAUCAGUGGCGAAGGCGGCCAUCUGGGACAACACUGACGCUGAAGCACGAAAAGCGUGGGGGAGCAAACAGG
rnacentral:rRNA from 1 species